AACGAACGCUGGCGGCAUGCCUAACACAUGCAAGUCGAACGAGACCUUCGGGUCUAGUGGCGCACGGGUGCGUAACGCGUGGGAAUCUGCCCUUGGGUUCGGAAUAACAGUUAGAAAUGACUGCUAAUACCGGAUAAUGUCUUCGGACCAAAGAUUUAUCGCCCAGGGAUGAGCCCGCGUAGGAUUAGCUAGUUGGUGAGGUAAAGGCUCACCAAGGCGACGAUCCUUAGCUGGUCUGAGAGGAUGAUCAGCCACACUGGGACUGAGACACGGCCCAGACUCCUACGGAGGCAGCAGUGGGAAUA
rnacentral:rRNA from 1 species